UUACGGAAGGCAGCAGUGAGGAAUAUUGGGCAAUGCCCGUAAGGGUGACCCAGCAACGCCGCGUGGAGGAUGAAGGCCGUAAGGUUGUAAACUCCUGUGAGAUGGGAAGAAAGUCCAUAAUUCGUAAGGGUUAUGGUUUGACUGUACCAUCAGAGGAAGCCCCGGCUAACUACGUGCCAGCAGCCGCGGUAAUACGUAGGGGGCAAGCGUUGUCCGGAUUUACUGGGUGUAAAGGGCGCGUAGGCGGGUUCGUAAGUCAGAGGUGAAAUCUCCCGGCUUAACCGGGAAACUGCCUUUGAUACUGCGAAUCUUGAGUUCAGAAGAGAGAGAUGGAAUUCCAGGUGUAGUGGUGAAAUACGUAGAUAUCUGGAAGAACACCAGUGGCGAAGGCGAUCUCUUGGUCUGAAACUGACGCUGAGGCGCGAAAGCGUGGGUAGCAAACAGGAUUAGAUACCCCGGUAGUCCC
rnacentral:rRNA from 1 species